GCCUGCCCUCCCCUGGUCUGAGCCGGCGGAAGCCUCACCUCUUUUGUAAUUUCCUAAGAUUUGAAAUUAAGUCUUUAAACGUUCGUUUCCUAAUAAGGGUGAAAAGGCAGGCACUCCUCAGCCUAGUUCCUCCCCUUCCAAGCUGAGAGUUCUGCGACUGCGAAGUGAGUCGUUCGGGCUUAUUUGGAAGCUUUGGGUUGCCUGUUGACGCGUUCUGAGUGUGAGUGAAAUGCAAGAAAAUCGGGUGAUAGCGUAAAAUGACAGCUUUGUAUACGGAGACUGGGACACAGCAAUUUCCAGUGUUCAUAUAAGUGAAAACAAAGGUUUCCUAAAGACCUACAGUGUCGCUUACAAAAUAAAAUACAAAAGGAAAAAUAGACCUGGAGACAACAAAGUUCACGUUGUUCACAUCCCACUCUAAACCUGCCGUGUCCAGAUGAGAAAUUCCCUACUCUCGGAUUUUUAUUCAACGGAGAUUAGAAUCUAUUCCUUUCUCCCCUGGGGUGUUUCACUAGUCCACAGCUGGUCGUUCCUAGGAAUUAAUUGAAGAGGAAGCGGCAGAUAUGAGUAGGCUGCUGGACCUGAUAAAAAGGUUGUGAAAAGUUGAUGGAUCAUACCAAACUCACCACGUUCAUGCAAUAGAUUCUACAUCAUUAGACAUUUUUCUUGUUGGUCUCAUAUAUGAUUCUAUUCUUUCACUUCAGGCAUGUGACCUUUUAAAGCCUUAAGUUGCUAGAGGGCAUGUAUGCUCUUCAGAGAGAG